rnacentral:rRNA from 1 species
UACGUAGGGGGCGAGCGUUGUCCGGAGUUACUGGGCGUAAAGGGCACGCAGGCGGUGCGGCGCGUUUCGCGUGACAGCGGAGGGCUUAACUCUCCGAGGAUGCGAAAGACGGCGGCACUUGAGGGCCAGAGAGGGACACGGAAUUCCGGGUGGAGUGGUGAAAUGCGUAGAGAUCCGGAGGAACACCGAAGGCAAAGGCAGCCCCCUGGGCUGACACUGACGCUCAGGCACGAAAGCGUGGGGAGCAAACAGG